rnacentral:rRNA from 1 species
AGCGAACGCUGGCGGCAGGCCUAACACAUGCAAGUCGAACGAACCUUUCGGGGUUAGUGGCGGACGGGUGAGUAACACGUGGGAACGUGCCUUUAGGUUCGGAAUAACUCAGGGAAACUUGUGCUAAUACCGAAUGUGCCCUUCGGGGGAAAGAUUAAUCGCCUUUAGAGCGGCCCGCGUCUGAUUAGCUAGUUGGUUGAGGUAAUGGCUCACCAAGGCGACGAUCAGUAGCUGGUCUGAGAGGAUGAUCAGCCACAUUGGGACUGAGACACGGCCCAAACUCCUACGGGAGGCAGCAGUGGGGAAUCUUGCGCAAUGGGCGAAAGCCUGACGCAGCCAUGCCGCGUGAAUGAUGAAGGUCUUAGGAUUGUAAAAUUCUUUCACCGGGGACGAUAGUGACGGUACCCGGAGAAGAAGCCCCGGCUAACUUCGUG